AUGAACGUUGGCGGCGUGGAUUAGGCAUGCAAGUCGAGCGAGAUCCGUAGCAAUACGGUGAAAGCGGGCGUAAGGGACAGGAAUACGUAGACUACCUACCCUCAGGUUCAGGAUAGCCCGCCGAAAGGCGGGGUAAUCCUGGAUGAUGUCUCCGGAUCAAAGGUGUGAUUCCGCCGGAGGAUGGGUCUGCGUCCUAUUAGCUAGUUGGCGGGGUAACGGCCCACCAAGGCAAUGAUGGGUAGCAGGUGUGAGAGCACGACCUGCGUCACUGGGACUGAGACACUGCCCAGACACCUACGGGUGGCUGCAGUCGAGGAUCUUCGGCAAUGGGCGCAAGCCUGACGAGCGACGCCCCGUGCGGGAUGAAGGCCUUCGGGUUGUAAACCGCUGUCAGUGGGAGGAAAUGCAGGUGGGUUCUCCCAUCUGUUUGACCUAUCCGCAGAGGAAGGAUGGGCUAAGUUCGUGCCAGCAGCCGCGGUAAGACGAACCAUCCAAACGUUAUUCGGAAUUACUGGGCUUAAAGGGUGCGUAGGCUGCGCAGAAAGUUGGGUGUGAAAUCCCUCGGCUUAACCGAGGAACUGCGCCCAAAACUACUGUGCUUGAGGGAGACAGAGGUGAGCGGAACUUAGGGUGGAGCGGUGAAUGCGUUGAUAUCCUAAGGAACACCCGUGGCGAAAGCGGCUCACUGGGUCUCUUCUGACGCUGAUGCACGAAAGCUAGGGGAGCGAACGGGAUUAGAUACCCGGUAGUCCUAGCCGUAACGAUGAGCACUGGAUUGGAGGGUCCUCCAUAGCCUUCCGAUCGCCAGAGAAAUUGUUAAGUGCUCCGCCUGGGGAGUAUGGUCGCAAGGCUGAAAACUCAAAGAAAUUGACGGGGGCUCACACAAGCGGUGGAGGAUGUGGCUUAAUUCGAGGGGCUACGCGAAGAACCUUAUCCUAGUCUUGACAUGCACGGAUUAACUCCUGGAAACAGGAGCCAGGCCUUCGGGUACAACGUGCACAGGGUGCUGCAUGGCUGUCGUCAGCUCGUGUCGUGAGAUGAUCGCGUUAAGUCGCUUAACGAGCGAAAACCCUUGUCAGUAGUUGCCAGCGCGUAAUGGCGGGGACUCUACUGAGACCGCCGGCGUUAAGCCGGAGGGAAGGCGGGGAUGACGUCAAGUCCUCAUGGCCUUUAUGAUUAGGGCUGCACACGUACCUACAAUGGCGCGCACAAAGGGAUGCAAAACUGUGAGGUCGAGCAAAUCCCAAAAAAACGCGCCCCAGUUCGGAUUGCAGGCUGCAACUCGCCUGCAUGAAGCCGGAAUCGCUAGUAAUCGCGGAUCAGCAUGCCGCGGUGAAUGUGUUCCUGAGCCUUGUACACACCGCCCGUCAAGCCACGAAAGUGGGGGGUAUCCGAAGUCGCCGUUGAGGCGCCGAAGAUAACUCCGCGAUUGGGACUAAGGUCGUACAAGGUACC
rnacentral:rRNA from 1 species